rnacentral:rRNA from 1 species
GACGAACGCUGGCGGCGUGCCUAAUACAUGCAAGUCGAGCGGAUCUAGGAGGGAGCUUGCUCCCGAAUAGAUUAGCGGCGGACGGGUGAGUAACACGUAGGCAACCUGCCUGCAAGAUCGGGAUAACAUUCGGAAACGAAUGCUAAUACCGGAUACGCAGUUUGAUCGCAUGAUCGAACUGAGAAAGGCGGAGCAAUCUGCCGCUUGUAGAUGGGCCUGCGGCGCAUUAGCUAGUUGGUGGGGUAAUGGCUCACCAAGGCGACGAUGCGUAGCCGACCUGAGAGGGUGAUCGGCCACACUGGGACUGAGACACGGCCCAGACUCCUACGGGAGGCAGCAGUAGGGAAUCUUCCGCAAUGGACGAAAGUCUGACGGAGCAACGCCGCGUGAGUGAUGAAGGUUCUCGGAUCGUAAAGCUCUGUUGCCAGGGAAGAACAGCUAGGAGAGUAACUGCUCUUAGCAUGACGGUACCUGAGAAGAAAGCCCCGGCUAACUACGUGCCAGCAGCCGCGGUAAUACGUAGGGGGCAAGCGUUGUCCGGAAUUAUUGGGCGUAAAGCGCGCGCAGGCGGCCUUGUAAGUCUAGUGUUUAAUCUC